ACGAUUUCUUUCUUUUUUCUUUUUAUUUUUUUUAUUUAGUCUAUUUUAUUAUAUUUAUUUAGUUUGAGAAUGUGUAGGCCUUAAUGUUUACAUUGUUUGCUGAUUUGACUAUUCUAUGUUUGAAACUGAAAUUAUGCCUUUAUGGUGAACUUUUGAGUGAAAAGAAAGAGUAGACUAUCUUCAGAGUUAUUCAUAUCGAUGUUAAGGAAGUGGACAAUUGAAUGAACUUAUAAAAUGCUAGUCAACCUGGGACAAUGCUUCAUUUAUUGACUGGACAGCAAUGAAAUUUCGGACGAAGGAACUAUACAGACGAUUUUCGGAAUAUGUCGUCUGCUUCUUUGUUAUCACACAUGGCAUUGGAGGUGCACGCGUGACUGAUUUAGAGCCCAAAUAUGGCAGUUUGGCGGGUGAAACGAGGCUGACAAUUUUGGGUUCUGGU